CUUCCCAGAGUACGGAGAUUAUAGAUUGUGGACCAUCACACCCAGCUUGUCCUUACCCAAGGAAGUAAGUUUAAGGAAAACAAAAAGCAGCACAUUAUUGCUUUGUUGGCAUAAGACACCUAAAAAAAUUCUUUAAAAUGAGACUAGAAGGCUUAUGAUGGCUUCCACCAAUCCUCAGAGUUCUUUGAUGGCAAGCCUCAGAGACUACAGAAUGUUAAACUACAUGAUGGAGAAAUUCUACUUCAGGCCAAGUUGGAGAAACAAGAGCUGGAUUUACUCUUCUAAAGCUACUAAAAAUUGAACAAAAUAAUUAAAGGAAUGCUUUACAAGAUACUAGAUAUCAGGUGUUAAAGGGACAUUGAUCCCUGAGAGAAAGAAAACAAAUGAUGUGGAACCUGUGAUUGAUUAAGUUUAUUG